rnacentral:rRNA from 1 species
AUGCUGACAUGAGUAACGACAAUGGGUGUGAAAACCCCCCACGCCGAAAGACCAAGGUUUCCUGCGCAACGUUAAUCGACGCAGGGUUAGUCGGUCCCUAAGGCGAGGCUGAAAAGCGUAGUCGAUGGAAAACAGGUUAAUAUUCCUGUACUUCUGGUUAUUGCGAUGGAGGGACGGAGAAGGCUAGGCCAGCUUGGCGUUGGUUGUCCAAGUUUAAGGUGGUAGGCUGGAAUCUUAGGUAAAUCCGGGAUUCUAAGGCCGAGAGCUGAUGACGAGUUACCCUUUGGGUGACGAAG